rnacentral:rRNA from 1 species
UACGUAGGGUCCAAGCGUUGUCCGGAUUUACUGGGCGUAAAGGGCGCGUAGGCGGCUUAACAAGUCACUUGUGAAAUCUCCGGGCUUAACUCGGAACGGCCAAGUGAAACUGUCAAGCUAGAGUGCAGAAGGGGCAAUCGGAAUUCUUGGUGUAGCGGUGAAAUGCGUAGAUAUCAAGAGGAACACCUGAGGUGAAGACGGGUUGCUGGGCUGACACUGACGCUGAGGCGCGAAAGCCAGGGGAGCAAACGGG